CCUGGUAAGAUUUACAGCAAUCAGGAGUACAGGGUUCUUUGAAUGCAUCGUAGUUCUUGUCUGAUAGUUUAAUUUCCGGGCUGCCCUGAAGGCAUCACCUGCAGCUCGGUGCGCGUGAGGGUGUGGUGUAGAGGAACAAAGACGGCAAGGAAAAACUCCAUGCUGCCGUGAAGCACAGUUUUCCAGUUAAAAGGAGAAAAAAGAAGUUCAAUUAACAUUUGUGAGAGAGCUGCCGUUAGCGGUGAACCACAGACGGGUACCUACCUCGAAGGAGUCGGAGUGUUUCUUCGAACUUUUUGAACUAUUCUGACUGGUUUUUUUUUGAGGGACAAUUCCAUGUGUGCUGCAUAAGGAGCUGCCAUCGCAGAUCUAGGACACUGUUGCUGCUGUGGAGGCCUUCUGUGUGUCAGGACGCGACUCGUUGAUGCCUGCCGUACCAGGAGGGCGGUAGGAAAAAACAAAAGGAAGUCCACCUGAGAGAUACUUUACCAUUUUCUUUUGCUACUUUUUUCUUCACCUGGAACUCAGGUUGUUUUUUGUUCUCAAACCCAAAUAGACUGGUAACUAAAUGAAACUGAUAUCAUAAAAACUGAUGGUUGACAACCAGUAAAAGUCUAGUGGUACCACAUUUUCUUUUCUUUGGGGGUGUUGAAAUAUUGUGUUUUCUUUCCUUGUCUUACAUCUGUUUUGAUUGUUUCAAUUAUUCUUGUGAUGCAUUUGAGAUGUUUACUGCAUUUGAAGGUAUCCCUAUGUUGAGGAUGAGCAAAGGGAACUGAUCCAAGGAAAAUAUAUAUAUAUAAAGCAAGCCUCGUUUCACCAACCUGUGGUCGUGCGUGUUAUGUGGGUUGGAAGUCUUAUUGCUCUUACAGAGUUGCUACCGCCAAUCUCCUUCCCAAACCUAGAUUCAGAUAUUGUAGACAUUGCACUUGGGCGAGCAGGAUAGAUCAUCUCUUUAUAGAUAGAGGGACACAAGUCCAGGUUACACA